AAGUAAAUGUGCUGCUUGCAAAAAAGGGUUUCACAAAUAAUCCAAGUGAUAUUCCUACUUUUAAAAUGGACUUGUAUUGGCAUCAUCGUCACUCCUACUGUGCUAGAUGUAACAAGACAAUUGAUGAAAAUCAUCGAUAUUUAAUGAACUAUGAUAUGGUUUACUGCAGUAGUUGCUUGUGCAGUAGGUGUCAACAUCCUUUAGAUGAUAAGGCUCUUGAUAUUGGACAUGGUUUAUAUCAUGGGCAUUGUUUAGCCUGUGUUCACUGCAACUGUGUUACAGGAAGUAUGGUAUUUAUUGAAGGUUCUUUUGUGUGUACAAACUGCAUAAAACGCUACAAAUAAUAUAAAUAAACUGAACAGUGAACAACAAUUAGAUUAGAUAUAGUACCGUAUUUGCCUGAUUAGAAGCUCAGGCGUUUAUUCAGGGGAAAAUAUAAAAAAAUCUGCUAAAGUGGGAAUCAAACCCGUGACUCCUAGAUCUUCAGCCUGUAUCUCAAAAGUUAAGCUACCUUAAAGCCACUUAUUUUUAAGUAGACAAGCGAUUUGUUAAUGGUAUUGAUUUAACAUGUACUAAUUUUUGCGAUUUUGCUCAUUUUUUUCAAUUAAUAACUGUUAAUAAACAUAAUUUAUUAAUA